rnacentral:rRNA from 1 species
GACGAACGCUGGCGGCGUGCCUAAUACAUGCAAGUCGAGCGGACUUUCCGGAGUGCUUGCACUUCGGCAGGUUAGCGGCGGAUGGGUGAGUAACACGUAGGCAACCUGCGCAUAAGACCUGGCUAACAUUCGGAAACGAAUGCUACUACUGGAUAGACGGACCUCUUGCUUGAGGGUAGCGGGAAAGGGGGGGCAAUGAGCCGCUUAUGGAUGGGCCUGUGGCGCAUUGGCUGGUUGGUGGGGUAAGGGCCUACCAAGGCGAGGACGCGUAGGCGACCUGGGAGGGUGAUCGGCCACCCUGGGACUGAGCCACGGCCCAGACUCCUACGGGAGGCCGCAGUAGGGAAUCUGCCGCAAUGGACGCAAGUCUGGCGGAGCAACGCCGCGUGAGUGGGGAAGGCCUUCGGGUCGUAAAGCUCUGUUGCCAGGGAAGAACGGGUAGGGGAGUAACUGCCCUUGCCAUGACGGUACCUGAGAAGAAAGCCCCGGCUAACUACGUG